rnacentral:rRNA from 1 species
CGCGGCCUAUCAGCUUGUUGGUGGGGUAAUGGCCUACCAAGGCGACGACGGGUAGCCGGCCUGAGAGGGCGACCGGCCGCACUGGGACUGAGACACGGCCCAGACUCCUACGGGAGGCAGCAGUGGGGAAUAUUGCACAAUGGGGGAAACCCUGAUGCAGCGACGCAGCGUGCGGGAUGACGGCCUUCGGGUUGUAAACCGCUUUCAGCAGGGAAGAAGCCGUAAGGUGACGGUACCUGCAGAAGAAGUACCGGCUAACUACGUGCCAGCAGCCGCGGUAAUACGUAGGGUACGAGCGUUGUCCGGAAUUAUUGGGCGUAAAGAGCUCGUAGGUGGUUGGUCACGUCUGCUGUGGAAACGCAACGCUUAACAUUGCGCGUGCAGUAGGUACGGGCUGACUAGAGUGCAGUAGGGGAGUCUGGAAUUCCUGGUGUAGCGGUGAAAUGCGCAGAUAUCAGGAGGAACACCGGUGGCGAAGGCGGGACUCUGGGCUGUAACUGACACUGAGGAGCGAAAGCAUGGGGAGCGAACAGGAUUAGAUACCCUGGUAGUCCAUGCCGUAAACGUUGGGCACUAGGUGUGGGGGACAUUCCACGUUCUCCGCGCCGUAGCUAACGCAUUAAGUGCCCCGCCUGGGGAGUACGG